AUACUCUGGUUUCUCUUCAAAUCGUAUAAAUCUUUCGCCUUUUACUAAAGAUUUCCGUGGAGAGAAACGAGUGUGAGUCUGAAACCAAUUUUUUGAGGCCUUGCGUUUCUUAGCAGGGCU
ensembl:snRNA RNU5E-1 RNA, U5E small nuclear 1